AAUACGGAUGGUGAGAGUGGCGGAAGGGCGAGGAACACGUGAGCAACCUGCCUUGAGGUGGGGAAAACCGUUGGAAACGACGGCUAAUACCGAAUGUGGGCGCCGGGAGACAUCUCCCGGACGCUAAAGGGGGCCCAAAAGGCUCUCCCUCUUCGAGGGGCUCGCGCACCAUCAGCUUGUUGGCGGGGUAACGGCCCACCAAGGCUUACGGUUAGCUGGUCUGAGAGGAUGGCCAGCCGCACUGGGACUGAGAUACUGCCCAGACUCCUACGGGAGGCUGCAGUCGAGGAUCAUUCGCAAUGGGGGGAAACCCUGACGAUGCGACGCUGCGUGGAGGAUGAAGGGCCCCUUCGGGUUGUAAACUCCUGUCAUGAUGGAAAAGGAGAGGGGACCCAACACGUCCCUUAUUUGAUGGUACAUCAAGAGGAAGAGACGGCUAACUCUGUGCCAGCAGCAGC
rnacentral:rRNA from 1 species